UACGUAGGGUGCGAGCGUUGUCCGGAAUUAUUGGGCGUAAAGAGCUUGUAGGCGGUUUGUCGCGUCUGCCGUGAAAGCCCAGGGCUUAACCCUGGGUCUGCGGUGGGUACGGGCAGACUAGAGUGUGGUAGGGGAGACUGGAAUUCCUGGUGUAGCGGUGAAAUACGCAGAUAUCAGGAGGAACACCGAUGGCGAAGGCAGGUCUCUGGGCCACUACUGACGCUGAGAAGCGAAAGCAUGGGGAGCAAACAGG
rnacentral:rRNA from 1 species